GCUCUGGUGGUGCAGUGGGUGAGCACGUGAUACUUAUAAAACAGUACUUGGGAAGUGAUGCUAAGGUUGUGAGUUCAAGUCUCACCUAGCACU
rnacentral:tRNA from 1 species